rnacentral:tRNA from 1 species
UCCCUGGCAGUCCAGUGGUUAGGACUCUGCACUUCCACUGCAGGGGCACAGGUUCAAUUUCAGCUUAGGGAA